rnacentral:rRNA from 1 species
ACGAACGCUGGCGGCGUGCCUAAUCCAUGCAAGUAGAACGCUGAAACUUGGUGCUUGCACCGAGCGGAUGAGUUGCGAACGGGUGAGUAACGCGUAGGUAACCUGCCUGGUAGCGGGGGAUAACUAUUGGAAACGAUAGCUAAUACCGCAUAAGAGCAGAUGUUGCAUGACAUUUGCUUAAAAGGUGCAAUUGCACCACUACCAGAUGGACCUGCGUUGUAUUAGCUAGUUGGUGGGGUAACGGCUCACCAAGGCGACGAUACAUAGCCGACCUGAGAGGGUGGUCUGCCACAAUGGGACUGGGACACGGCCCAGACUCCUACGGGAGGCAGCAGUAGGGAAUCUUCGGCAAUGGACGGAAGUCUGGACGAGCAACGCCGCGUGAGUGAAGAAGGUUUUCGGAUCGUAAAGCUCUGUUGUAAGAGAAGAAAGAGUGUGAGAGUGGAAAGUUCACACUGUGACGGUAUCUUACCAGAAAGGGACGGCUAACUACGUG